UACGAAGGGGGCUAGCGUUGUUCGGAAUUACUGGGCGUAAAGCGCGCGCAGGCGGUCUUCGAAGUCAGUGGUGAAAGCCCGGAGCUCAACUCCGGAACUGCCAUUGAAACUGUAAGACUUGAGGAUGAGAGAGGUGAGUGGAAUUCCCAGUGUAGAGGUGAAAUUCGUAGAUAUUGGGAAGAACACCGGUGGCGAAGGCGGCUCACUGGCUCAUAUCUGACGCUCAGGCGCGACAGCGUGGGGAUCAAACAGG
rnacentral:rRNA from 1 species